UACGUAGGGUGCGAGCGUUAAUCGGAAUUACUGGGCGUAAAGUGUGCGCAGGCGGCCGCGCAAGUCGAGUGUGAAAGCCCCUGAGCUUAACUUGGGAAUUUGGCGCUCGAAACUACGUGGCUGGAGUGUGGCAGAGGAAGGUGGAAAUUCCACGUGUAGCGGUGAAAUGCGUAGAGAUGUGGAGGAACACCAAGUGGCGAAGGCAGCCUUCCUGGGCCAACACUGACGCUCGAUGCACGAAAGCGUGGGGAGCAAACAGG
rnacentral:rRNA from 1 species